UGGGGAAUUUUGGACAAUGGGCGAAAGCCUGAUCCAGCAAUGCCGCGUGUGUGAAGAAGGCCUUCGGGUUGUAAAGCACUUUUGUCCGGAAAGAAAUCCUUGGCUCUAAUACAGUCGGGGGAUGACGGUACCGGAAGAAUAAGCACCGGCUAACUACGUGCCAGCAGCCGCGGUAAUACGUAGGGUGCAAGCGUUAAUCGGAAUUACUGGGCGUAAAGCGUGCGCAGGCGGUUUGCUAAGACCGAUGUGAAAUCCCCGGGCUCAACCUGGGAACUGCAUUGGUGACUGGCAGGCUAGAGUAUGGCAGAGGGGGGUAGAAUUCCACGUGUAGCAGUGAAAUGCGUAGAGAUGUGGAGGAAUACCGAUGGCGAAAGGCAGCCCCCUGGGCCAAUACUGACGCUCAUGCACGAAAAGCGUGGGGAGCAAAACAGGAUUAGAUACCCUGGUAGUCCACGCCCUAAAACGAUGUCAACUAGUUNUUGGGGAUUCAUUUCCUAGUAACGUAGCUAACGCGUGAAGUUGACCGCCUGGGGAGUACGGUCG
rnacentral:rRNA from 1 species